rnacentral:rRNA from 1 species
CUGGAGGUAUCAGAAGUGCGAAUGCUGACAUAAGUAACGAUAAAGCGGGUGAAAAGCCCGCUCGCCGGAAGACCAAGGGUUCCUGUCCAACGUUAAUCGGGGCAGGGUGAGUCGACCCCUAAGGCGAGGCCGAAAGGCGUAGUCGAUGGGAAACAGGUUAAUAUUCCUGUACUUGGUGUUACUGCGAAGGGGGGACGGAGAAGGCUAUGUUGGCCGGGCGACGGUUGUCCCGGUUUAAGCGUGUAGGCUGGUUUUCCAGGCAAAUCCGGAAAAUCAAGGCUGAGGCGUGAUGACGAGGCACUACGGUGCUGAAGCAACAAAUGCCCUGCUUCCAGGAAAAGCCUCUAAGCAUCAGGUAACAUCAAAUCGUACCCCAAACCGACACAGGUGGUCAGGUAGAGAAUACCAAGGCGCUUGAGAGAACUCGGGUGAAGGAACUAGGCAAAAUGGUGCCGUAACUUCGGGAGAAGGCACGCUGAUAUGUAGGUGAAGUCCCUCGCGGAUGGAGCUGAAAUCAGUCGAAGAUACCAGCUGGCUGCAACUGUUUAUUAAAAACACAGCACUGUGCAAACACGAAAGUGGACGUAUACGGUGUGACGCCUGCCCGGUGCCGGAAGGUUAAUUGAUGGGGUUAGCGGUAACGCGAAGCUCUUGAUCGAAGCCCCGGUAAACGGCGGCCGUAACUAUAACGGUCCUAAGGUAGCGAAAUUCCUUGUCGGGUAAGUUCCGACCUGCACGAAUGGCGUAAUGAUGGCCAGGCUGUCUCCACCCGAGACUCAGUGAAAUUGAACUCGCUGUGAAGAUGCAGUGUACCCGCGGCAAGACGGAAAGACCCCGUGAACCUUUACUAUAGCUUGACACUGAACAUUGAGCCUUGAUGUGUAGGAUAGGUGGGAGGCUUUGAAGUGUGGACGCCAGUCUGCAUGGAGCCGGCCUUGAAAUACCACCCUUUAAUGUUUGAUGUUCUAACGUUGGCCCCUGAUCGGGGUUGCGGACAGUGUCUGGUGGGUAGUUUGACUGGGGCGGUCUCCUCCUAAAGAGUAACGGAGGAGCACGAAGGUUGGCUAAUCCUGGUCGGACAUCAGGAGGUUAGUGCAAUGGCAUAAGCCAGCUUGACUGCGAGCGUGACGGCGCGAGCAGGUGCGAAAGCAGGUCAUAGUGAUCCGGUGGUUCUGAAUGGAAGGGCCAUCGCUCAACGGAUAAAAGGUACUCCGGGGAUAACAGGCUGAUACCGCCCAAGAGUUCAUAUCGACGGCGGUGUUUGGCACCUCGAUGUCGGCUCAUCACAUCCUGGGGCUGAAGUAGGUCCCAAGGGUAUGGCUGUUCGCCAUUUAAAGUGGUACGCGAGCUGGGUUUAGAACGUCGUGAGACAGUUCGGUCCCUAUCUGCCGUGGGCGCUGGAGAACUGAGGGGGGCUGCUCCUAGUACGAGAGGACCGGAGUGGACGCAUCACUGGUGUUCGGGUUGUCAUGCCAAUGGCACUGCCCGGUAGCUAAAUGCGGAAGAGAUAAGUGCUGAAAGCAUCUAAGCACGAAACUUGCCCCGAGAUGAGUUCUCCCUGACUCCUUGAGAGUCCUGAAGGAACGUUGAAGACGACGACGUUGAUAGGCCGGGUGUGUAAGCGCAGCGAUGCGUUGAGCUAACCGGUACUAAUGAACCGUGAGGCUUAACCUU